rnacentral:rRNA from 1 species
UACGUAGGGUGCGAGCGUUAAUCGGAAUUACUGGGCGUAAAGGGUGCGUAGGUGGUUGGGUAAGUUUGAUGUGAAAUCUCCGGGCUUAACCCGGAAAUGGCAUUGAAUACUAUUCGGCUAGAGGUUUGGAGGGGGGACUGGAAUUCUUGGUGUAGCAGUGAAAUGCGUAGAUAUCAAGAGGAACACCAGUGGCGAAGGCGAGUCCCUGGACAACACCUGACACUGAGGCACGAAAGCUAGGGGAGCAAACAGG